UACGUAGGGGGCAAGCGUUGUCCGGAAUCAUUGGGCGUAAAGAGCGCGUAGGCGGCCCUGUAAGUCCGCUGUGAAAGUCAAGGGCUCAACCCUUGAAUGCCGGUGGAUACUGCAGGGCUAGAGUCCGGAAGAGGCGAGUGGAAUUCCUGGUGUAGCGGUGAAAUGCGCAGAUAUCAGGAGGAACACCAGUGGCGAAGGCGACUUCCUGGCCUGUUCUUGACGCUGAGGCGCGAAAGCUAGGGGAGCAAACGGG
rnacentral:rRNA from 1 species